rnacentral:rRNA from 1 species
GAUGAACGCUGGCGGCGUGCUUAACACAUGCAAGUCGAACGGAAAGGCCCAAGCUUGCUUGGGUACUCGAGUGGCGAACGGGUGAGUAACACGUGGGUGAUCUGCCCUGCACUUCGGGAUAAGCCUGGGAAACUGGGUCUAAUACCGGAUAGGACGAUGGUUUGGAUGCCAUUGUGGAAAGUUUUUUCGGUGUGGGAUGAGCUCGCGGCCUAUCAGCUUGUUGGUGGGGUAAUGGCCUACCAAGGCGUCGACGGGUAGCCGGCCUGAGAGGGUGUACGGCCACAUUGGGACUGAGAUACGGCCCAGACUCCUACGGGAGGCAGCAGUGGGGAAUAUUGCACAAUGGGCGCAAGCCUGAUGCAGCGACGCCGCGUGGGGGAUGACGGCCUUCGGGUUGUAAAUUCCUUUCGCUAGGGACGAAGCGUUUUUGUGACGGUACCUGGAGAAGAAGCACCGGCUAACUACGUG